rnacentral:rRNA from 1 species
GACGAACGCUGGCGGCGUGCUUAACACAUGCAAGUCGAACGGAAAGGCCCUGCUUUUGUGGGGUGCUCGAGUGGCGAACGGGUGAGUAACACGUGAGUAACCUGCCCUUGACUUUGGGAUAACUUCAGGAAACUGGGGCUAAUACCGGAUAGGAGCUCCUGCUGCAUGGUGGGGGUUGGAAAGUUUCGGCGGUUGGGGAUGGACUCGCGGCUUAUCAGCUUGUUGGUGGGGUAGUGGCUUACCAAGGCUUUGACGGGUAGCCGGCCUGAGAGGGUGACCGGCCACAUUGGGACUGAGAUACGGCCCAGACUCCUACGGGAGGCAGGAGUGGGGAAUAUUGCACAAUGGGCGGAAGCCUGAUGCAGCAACGCCGCGUGCGGGAUGACGGCCUUCGGGUUGUAAACCGAUUUCGCCUGUGACGAAGCGUGAGUGACGGUAAUGGGGAAAGAAGCACCGGCUAACUACGU